UACAGAGGGUGCAAGCGUUGUUCGGAAUUAUUGGGCGUAAAGCGCGUGUAGGCGGCUUUUCAAGUCGGGUGUGAAAGCCCGGGGCUCAACCCCGGAACGGCAUCCGAUACUGGGAGGCUUGAGACCGGGAGAGGAGGGUGGAAUAUCCAGUGUAGAGGUGAAAUUCGUAGAUAUUGGAUGGAACACCAGUGGCGAAAGCGGCUCUCGUGGCCCGGAUCUGACGCUGAGGCGCGAAAGCGUGGGGAGCAAACAGG
rnacentral:rRNA from 1 species